UGCCUGGGUAUCUGGCCCGUGCGU
rnacentral:miRNA from 1 species